UCUAGUGUCUGUAUGUUAAAUAUAAGGCUUCAACCAGCAGCCUGUGAGGUUACCUUCAAGUGGAAACAGCUAGGCUAACCUUGCCUGGCUUGGCUCUCUCCAACAGUAACAAAAGCAGCUCCUCUAAAGCUCAGCAAUGAACACAUUAAAUUAUGUCUAUUGUUUGGACCGUACAAAAAUUGAAUUUUCUUAUCUCUUAUCUCUUUUCUUUUCUCUUAAGCAGUUACAGAGUAAACAGCAAAGACACUGCAAAGUUACUGGCAACAACCAAGAAAUACUCCGACAAUAACCACCUGCAAAAUGGUGCUUUCAAACAAUGUUUUUUGUACGAUCUGAGAAGCCAACGAAAAGCCUGGGGACGACUGCACUGAAAAUCCUAAUUUGACAACUGUUUUCAUCAUUUUGAUCAUUAAUAAACAGGGAGAGAUGUGACUUCCAGUAACAAAUCCUCACAUUGAGAAAAACCUGCACAAAGCUGCUGCAUUUAGACCUGAAACCAACAAAGGAGCUUUCUCCGCAGAGAGGUGUGUAAGUCUAUAUCCUUCCCUCUCUCAUGUUACCUUUUCUGCAGCAACACAGAGGCUCUGUGUGUCGUGUCAGUCUACAGCCUUUUGGCGUGGGAGGGGAGCUGACCGAGUGAAAAGAUAAACAACGCAAAACUUUAUUUCUGUGUAUAUGUACAACAUCUACACGGUCAACAUCUAACAGAGAUAAUCCCGUCAGGCUCUUUUUGUGUUGUGUGGUAUUUUCCAUCUCUGUCUGCAGAGCACUGAGCUACAGGCUUAGGACUAACUUUAUUGUCCAAGCUUCUUCAUAUGUAGGUGAGCCAAAUGUCCAAUCUCACUGACACUGCCCUAAAAAGCUGAUUGGCUCAUUGUAUGUGGGUCAACUUUUUUUUAGCUGCUUUUUACUGUCGGUCCAGUCACACCUGAAUGAGGCUUUUGGCAGAGUCAUUUUCAGGAUAAGUUAGGGCUGCUUAGAAAACAUAUCAAUUAGCACAUGAUGUUCUGGUGAAAUCCUGGAAUUACAUUUGCCAGCGACAGUCGCAGCAGAGCAGGAGGAGAUAUCUCAGGCUAUUUCUGACACCUCUGGAUGCAAAAGUAAAAAACUGUAUUAAUUAUUCCCAGAGACGAUGUUAUAUUACUCACAGCUGGAGCAGUUCUAUGGCUUAAACAGACAGGAGUGAGUCCAAGUUAAACAAUCAUAAGAAAAUAUUGGUUUACUGAAAACUAAGAGGAAUUUCUUCUGCUAUUUCUACCAAUUCACUACUACACUGGGAAAAAUCUAUUAUUAUUUAAAACAUUGACAGUGGGAAACUUAAACUGGCUUAUAAGAUUGGUACAUCAUCCAGGAGAGUGCCAUUUAAAGGUCAACAGUAACACUAAGGAUAUCGUUUAAAGGACCAGUGUCACAUUUACGGGGAUCUAUUGGCAGAAAUGGAACAUAAUAUACAUUAAUAUGUUUUUGUUAGCGAAUAAACACCUAAAAGUAAUCAUCGUUGUGUUUUUUGUUUGCUUAGAAUGAGCCAUUUAUAUCUACAUAGGGAGAGGGUCCUCUUCCACAGAGUCCACCACAUUUCUAUAGUAGCCCAGAAGGGACAAACUGAACCAAACAGUGGCCUUUUGUGUUUUUGCAUUGCCACCACAGUGUGCACAUAGAAGACAAAGAAGACCAAGAAGAAGGAGGGAGAGAGUAGUUGAUGGCAAACCUCUUCACUUCAGCUGACACAAUUUUGUCACCUUACAGCCACCAUAGUCUCUCUGACAUGCUUGGAAAAAGAGGGGACCUGAACGCAGCAUGAGGCAGCUCUGGGUCAUUGAAGUUAUGUGACACUUUCCCUUCAAGGCCACCACACCUCCCCAUCCUCCCCCCUUAGUCGACUACAGCCAAUCAUGGACAAUGUUUACAGAGGUUGCCGUGACAACAGGUGGAAUGCACCUCAUCCCGCGCUGACCUUAGGACGCUUUCUUCCCGUGCCUCUGUGUGUGUGUGUGUGUGUCCCUACACUUUCCGCCUCUCUCUCUCUCUCUCUCUUUCUGUUCAUCUCGAUACCGAUUGUUCGUGAUGACAGUGAAAAACAAUGUUGCCAAAUCAGUUUCAGCUGAAGGUUUCUGUGAGAGUUUCACUGUCUCCACACUGGAGAUAGAGGUCUUUACAGGUCCACUCAGCUCCGAGGAACCAAGACCCAACCCUGGACCUGAGUCUGACUGGGUCCAAAGCCUGCUCAGUCUAAUCAAUAAUUGAUAAUCCAAUAUCAAUGAUAUAAAAUACAAACAUCUUAUGCGUCUCUAUGGGGAUAUUUUUGACUUUUGGCUUUUCCAAACAUCACUGUAAACACUCUAAAACAAUAUUUUGUUAUAUAAGGAUUUUAAAUACAUUUAGAAUGUAUUAUUCUGCUGUAAUAAAAAACAACACACAAGAGUAUCGAUGAAGACUGAUUAGGUGUAUUGAUAAGAGUAGUAGUGGUAGUUUUCAUUUUGCUUUUAUAUGGAUUGGUGCUUCUAACUGUUUUUCCCACCUAAUUGAACAAUUACUUCUGUGGAGAUAAAUUAAAAAGCUCUGUGCAGGUCUAGAAGAACUUAAUAAUCCCAAAGAGGAAAUUCAUGAGGUAGAGCAUGUUUGAAACAUUAAAAACAGGACAUGAAGAUGAUAAACAAGCAUUCAACAACAUCACACUUAUGAAUCAAAAGACAAUUAAACAGACACAAGCAACUCAAGAGCAUGAAUAUAAACAAGAGUGACAACUUCCCUGCUGCUUUACUUUGCUCCUUCCUCUAUCAGUAAAAUCCCAGAUGACACAUAAAACCUCCUUAGUGACAAAAAACAAACAAUAAAAAACCCCAUCAUGACACAAAAAUGAAAACAGAAACUAACACAUCAGAAACAAGA